ensembl:lncRNA
CAAUGUAACAACUAGAAUAUUGACUUUCAUACAAUCCAACCAUCUUCUUCAGACUCCCCCAGUGUGGUGUUUGUUUGUUUGUUUGUUUGUUUUGACAGGCAGAGUGGACAGUGAGAGAGACAGACAGAGAGGAAGGUCUUCCUUUUUCCGUUGGUUCACCCCACAAUGGCCGUUGCGGCCGGCGCACCGUGCUGAUCCGAAGCCAGGAGCCAGGUGCUUCUCCUGGUCUCCCAUGCGGGUGCAGGGCCCAAGCACUUGGGCCAUCCUCCACUGCACUCCCUGGCCACAGCAGAGAGCUGGACAGGAAGAGGAGUGACUGGGACAGAAUCUGGCGCCCCGACCAGGACUAGAACUCGGGGUGCCGGUGCCACAGGCGGAGGAUUAGCCAAUUGAGCCACGGCGCUGGCCCCCAGACUCCCCCAGUUCUACUUGCACUCAUUUGUGUGUGUGUUCUGUUGCCCAGUUUUGUCACCUGUGUGGAUUCGUGUAUCCACCAUCCAAGUCGGCACUCAGAGGAGUGCCAUCACCACCAGGGUCCCUGGUGUUGCCUUUUUAGAGCCACUUCUGCCUCCUUGUUGCUUCUUUCCCAUGCCUAACAGCCUGCCACUCAUCUGGUCUCCACUUAACUACUUUGGCCAUUUCAGAAAUGUUACAUCGAUGGAAUAGUAUCAUAUGUAACAUUUUGGAAUUGCUUUUCAUGCAGUGUUACCCCCUGGGGAUUCAUUCAAGUCAGGUGUCUCAACUUUGUUGCUAAGUGCUACCCCAUGAUAUGGAUAUACCACAAUUUGUUUAACCUCUCAACCACUCAAGAACAUCUGGAUUGUUUCUAAUUUUUGACUAUUACAAAAUUGCUGUGAGCCUUCAUGUAUGGUGUUUGUAUGACUCUAAAUUGUAAUUUUCCCAGGAGAAAUGCCCAAGGACAAUUGCUACUUCAUAUAGGAAUUGCGUAUUUAGGAGGAAAUGGGCAGAUAUAUUUUGCAGACGAAUGAGGCCACAUGGAGUUAUUGCCAUUGGAUAAUUGGAGGACGAAAGAGUCAAUCCAAAAACAAGGUCUCUGAACCUGAGGUUGAGGCAUUUGUCUUUAGUUUUUCCUUUCUAGAGCUGGCUUGGAUCCUUCGCUAUAGAAACGGGUAAGCAUGUGGAAACCUGUUCUGCAGCCGGGUCACCUGCCCCUGCUGUUGCCUGCACACGCGAUGCUUGUUCUCUCCCUCCUUUUUUUUUUUUUUUUUUUUUUUGUUAGUGGCUAAUGGCCUUGAAAUUUGGAACAAUGCACAUGGGCUGAGGGCCUGGGGAUUCUGAGCUGCGAAUAGGAAUAUCACCACAGAAUGUGAAAGGGACACCCAACUGGUGAACAGAGUAUUUUUAAAGGCCCAAGUCUCAGGUGUUUCCUUGGCCUGGGAGCAGCUCUGUGGCUAUAAGAACUGUGAUUAUUGAGCCUAUGACAUGAAGGACCUGAAUGGGAUUAUGGGUCUGUGCUGUUGUCUUCUCUCCUGGGUUUCUGCAGUCCCCACUUGCCAUCGCCUUUACCCGUGGUCCCCUCGACAGGAUCCUGGAGUGAUUCAGAUGUGCUGGAACUGACACAUCAGGAAACCAAGUUGUACAGUUUCAUCUUACUCAAGUCCAUUUGCAAACAGGUUAGCAAAUCAGCCAGGCUUUUUGUGUUCACAUAAGAUUCCUUUUCCUUGCUUACCCUAAAGACUCAGGUCAGUUUUCUUUAAUCUCUCUGGUAACCAUGAACAUGAUAGAGUGAACUUAAUGCUGCUGAUACCAGGGCUAUGUUGAACAAGUAGCAUUUCUGUUGCUCUUCAAUAUCCACUCCUUCUUCCUGGUGGUGUCUACUGUCCUUUAGGAAAUUACCUUCUCCCGUGGAUGCAGUUUUAGUGGAGUGUAAAUGCAAGUCCCUGCUCCCUACUGUGGAAGCUCUGAAAGAGGCCAGAUUUUGUCUCUUCUAGCCCUGAGGAAAGCCAUAGCUCCACCAAAUCUGAUAAGCUCUUCUGGCUCUUUGAAUCCAAGGUGACACAGUUCCCAGGAAUAGUUGGCAUGGUGGUCGAUGAGUAGACUGAAUUCCUUGCCCCUGGCCUUCAGAGGUGGGGGAUCUUUUUUUCUGCCAAAGGCCAUUUGGAUAUUUAUAAGA